UUCGUGUGAACAGUGGUUGAUCACGAGUUAGUCGGUCCUAAGUUCAAGGCGAAAGCCGAAAAUUUUCAAGUAAAGAAAAAUCAAAUAUAUAUGCCAAUUAACAGAUUUUUAUACACUUGAAUAAUUUUGAACGAAAGGGAAUACGGUUCCAAUUCCGUAACCUGUUGAGUAUCCGUUUGUUAUUAAAUAUGGGCCUCGUGCUCAUCCUGGCAACAGGAACGACCAUAAAGAAGCCGUCGAGAGGUAUCGGAAGAGUUUUCUUUUCUGUUUUAUAGCCGUACUACCAUGGAAGUCUUUCGCAGAGAGAUAUGGUAGAUGGGCUAGAAGAGCAUGACAUAUACUGUUGUGUCGAUAUUUUCUCCUCGGACCUUGAAAAUUUAUGGUGGGGAUACGCAAACUUCUCAACAGGCCGUACCAAUAUCCGCAGCUGGUCUCCAAGGUGAAGAGUCUCUAGUCGAUAGAAUA
rnacentral:rRNA from 1 species